UACGAAGGGGGCUAGCGUUGCUCGGAAUCACUGGGCGUAAAGGGUGCGUAGGCGGGUCUUUAAGUCAGGGGUGAAAUCCUGGAGCUCAACUCCAGAACUGCCUUUGAUACUGAAGAUCUUGAGUUCGGGAGAGGUGAGUGGAACUGCGAGUGUAGAGGUGAAAUUCGUAGAUAUUCGCAAGAACACCAGUGGCGAAGGCGGCUUACUGGCCCGAUACUGACGCUGAGGUGCGAAAGCGUGGGGAGCAAACAGG
rnacentral:rRNA from 1 species